AAGAGCCGGGCUCGGGAAGUGCCACGCUCUGUGAUCCCGGCAGCAGGGCUGGGGAACGUUCCAGCGGUGCCAGGGCUGCGGGGGCGACUGCAGCGGGCCGCAGGGUGUUACUGGGUGGUGGAGCGUCGUCACCAUUCACACCAUCCUUCAGGAGAUGGAGUUGCCACCCCAUGUUCCAGGUGCGCACAGCAAGCUCCAGGGGUCCUGCAGACCCCUCGGGUCCUGGCGUGCCCACUAUUGAGACGAGGUGCUGCAGGCGCGGGGCUGCCAGCUGGGUAGGCCUGUUUAAUGUUGCAGCCAGCUGCUGGUGACAUGGGCGUUGUUUUUCCCUGCAUUAUGGUCUGUUU